CUCUGUGGGUGGCGAGUGGCGGACGGGUGAGUAAUGCAUCGGGACCUACCCAGACGUGGGGGAUAACGUAGGGAAACUUACGCUAAUACCGCAUACGUCCUACGGGAGAAAGCGGGGGAUCGCAAGACCUCGCGCGGUUGGAUGGACCGAUGUGCGAUUAGCUAGUUGGUAAGGUAACGGCUUACCAAGGCGACGAUCGCUAGCUGGUCUGAGAGGAUGAUCAGCCACACUGGGACUGAGACACGGCCCAGACUCCUACGGGAGGCAGCAGUGGGGAAUAUUGGACAAUGGGCGCAAGCCUGAUCCAGCAAUGCCGCGUGUGUGA
rnacentral:rRNA from 1 species